AACGCACGAGACCUGCGGACCUGCGGAAGGAUCAUUAAUGAGAAGCUGCCCCUCGUGGGUAGACCUCCCACCCUCUGUGAACUUGCCUUUGUUGCUUUGGCAGGCCCGUCCUCUGGACCGCCGGCUUCGGCUGGCCCGUGCCUGCCAGAGGAUUCCAAACCCUGUCUGUCAGUGUUGUCUGAGUCUAUAUGAAAUCGUUAAAACUUUCAGCAAUGGAUCUCUAGAUCGGAAGAGCACACG
rnacentral:misc_RNA from 1 species